GGACGAACGGCUGGCGGCGUGCCUAAUACAUGCAAGUCGAACGGUCUUUCUAUGGAAGCUUGCUUCCGCUGAGAAGAUAGUGGCGAACGGGUGAGUAACACGUGGGUAACCUGCCCAUAAGAGGGGGGAUAACAUCCGGAAACGGGUGCUAAUACCGCAUAGUUUUCUUGAUCGCAUGAUUGAGAAAGGAAAGACGGCCUUUGUGCUGUCGCUUAUGGAUGGACCCGCGGCGUAUUAGUUAGUUGGUGAGGUAACGGCUCACCAAGACGAUGAUACGUAGCCGACCUGAGAGGGUGAUCGGCCACAUUGGGACUGAGACACGGCCCAAACUCCUACGGGAGGCAGCAGUAGGGAAUCUUCCGCAAUGGACGAAAGUCUGACGGAGCAACGCCGCGUGAGUGAAGAAAAGGUUUUCGGAUCGUAAAACUCUGUUGUCAGAGAAGAACAAGUUGGAGAGUAACUGCUCCAGCCUUGACGGUAUCUGACCAGAAAGCCACGGCUAACUACGUGCCAGCCGCCGC
rnacentral:rRNA from 1 species